AACGAACGCUGGCGGCGCGCCUAACACAUGCAAGUCGAGCGAUUGAACCCUUCGGGGGGAUUUAGCGGCGGACGGGUGAGUAAGGCAUAGAUAAUCUGCUUCAAAGAGGGGACAACCGGUCGAAAGGCUGGCUAAUACCGCAUAAGCUGUCCGGGUGAAUGCCGGCCAGUAAAGGCUUCGGUCGCUUUGAAAUGAGUCUA
rnacentral:rRNA from 1 species